GGACUCAAGAAAAAGAAAGCAGAGGGAAGAGGAGUCGGAUUCUGAUUCAGAAUCUGAAUCUGAACCAAGUGACGAGAGCGAAGAAUCAUUGCCUGCGGAGAAGGAGAAGAAAAAGAAAGAAACAAAAACAACUCCAAAAGAAACACCACAAAAAAAGAAAAAAGUAGUUGUGGAGGAUUCACCUCCUGAAGAAGAUCAAUACUUUGACGGUGAGACAUAUGAAAUAUCGAGUGACGAACUCGAUGAAUGGCUAGGGGA